CGCCCCGGUGCGGGCACGGCCCUCAGCCGAGCCCGCCGGCGCUCGUGUGCCUCUGCUCGCCGUCUUGCUUUAGUUAUCGUCCCUGUGGGACUCGCCGGGCGCGAGUGUGCACAAUAACCCCGUGUAGCGUUCCAGGCUUGGGGAAGAGUGGCUGGAAGGACCUGGAAAAGGACGUGGGGGUGCUGGUCACAGCGACUGCGCUGAGCCAGGUGUGCCCGGGAGGCCAAGGAGGCCAAUGGCAUCCUGGCCUGGAGCAGCAAUAGCGUGGCCAGAGGAGCAGGGCAGGGAUUGUCCCUCGGUUCUCGGCACUGAAAACCCCAGUUCCUGUGAAGUUGUGAAGACUGGGACUGCAGGGUCUCUCCUGGGUGGCCCUGGCUGCUGCCAAGCAGCAUUACUGGCUUGGGCAUUUGGUCAUUGUCGGUGUGGCAGUGGGAGAGCUGGAAGCCGGCCGUGUGCUGCUGACGGACCGACUGCGCCGAGGUUCAGCCCCUGCCCAGUAACCCAGCGCAGAAGAUGCAUUCCCUGCCUUCUGUUUUUCUUUUGUUCCAACUUUGUCAUCCUAAACUGGAUGAUGCCUGCAGCCAUCUGCUGCAUUUGGUCUGCUGCGGCAUCAUGCCGACUCAAUUAUGCACCGCUCUGGGAGAACAGCAGGCUGGUUUUCUCUUCAGCUUUGAAAGAGUGUUUUUCCCUUGCACAGGAAGGCUGAGGGAAGUAGGAGCCUCCAGAAGCAAGCUGGAUAAGCUGUUCCCAGCCAUGUCAGGUGGACUCUGUGUCUGUGCAGUCCAGGUGUGGUGGGAGAGCUGCCAGGCUGUCACCGUGCCCGAGAUGCUGCAUCCUGGGACUCGGAGCUCCGAUGCCGUGGCAGAUGUACUCCCUUGUGGCAGCACUUAAGUGUUUGGCACUUUUAAGCUUUAUCACCUCAUUUACUUUUCGUGGAUAUAUAUUAAACCAAGGGUAUUUCUAUUAAACCAAAUGUUUUGGGAUGAUAUGAAAUUAAAAAGGAGAUGGUGCAAGUGUAAAUUACAUUUGCUUUUUUUCAAAACAGCCAGGAGGGGAGGGCUGCAAAGAGAUGAUGUUUAUCCUUACAGUGGACUUCUAGCAAAGUUGUUUUGUUAUGCUUUCAUACUCAGAGAGAAGUGACCAUGCAGGAUUUAUGUGUGUGAUUCAGCUUGUGACAUCAGUCUUCUUCUUGUGGUGGGCAGAGGAGACAACCAAAAUCUAGGUUAUGUUAUAUUAUUUCAUUUUUCCUUUUUCUAUUUUUUUUUCUUUAUUUUGUUUUUCUGCAGGUUUAUGAUAAAUUUUGAGACUCCAGGACUGCUUCACAUUUUCUUCUUCAGUUUCCCUGCAGGUAGUGGACUUGAUGGAUUUCAACAUGGAGCCACUCACUGUUUGCUGUUUGAAUCCUCCUGGGCUGUCCAUAGUGCCCUGAUCCUUUUCCCCCUUCAGUAAAUUCUCCUCUUCAUUACAUGACGAUAGGGGUCAGAUCAAGUGGUGGGGAGCUAGAAAACAGGGACUUGUGCUAUUUACAUUUAAGACAUUUCUGGCCCCACCAGCUGUUCCAUGUGUGUUAUUUUCAGAAGGGCAAUAAUCCACGGGAGGUCAAGAGGGUGGAAUUGUGUGAAUAUAUUGGGUGAAGGAAAUCAAGACGCUUGGGAGUACCCAGGCCUUGUCAUGACAGAGAGUCUGGAUCCCAGAUGAUUCUGGCUGGGGAGAACUCAAGGAGAGUUCUCAAAGUGCUGUUUGCAUGGCUAGGAAGGGCUGCUCAGCUGGGUGUUGUUAGCUGUUUUUGAGAGUCAUCUGUGUUUACACUGCUGGCAGGACCACCUGUUUGUUUUUUUUAACAGUAAUAUGUGUGUGUGUCUGUAU